GAUGAAGAACGCAGCGAAAUGCGAUAAGUAAUGUGAAUUGCAGAAUUCAGUGAAUCAUCGAAUCUUUGAACGCACCUUGCGCUCCUUGGUAUUCCGAGGAGCAUGCCUGUUUGAGUGUCAUUAUAAUUAUCAAUCAUUUCAGUUAGUCUUUGUGAACUGAUUUGACUUGGAUAUAUGGGAGUUUGCGAGCUUCAUACAAGUUGGCUCUCCUUAAAUGCAUUAGCAAAAAGGGCCUUGAUGCUUGACCUUUCCACUGUGAUAAUUAUCUACAUUGUUAAGGCAGCAUUUGUUGUAAAAGGUCCAGCUUCAAAUUGUCUAUUUGUGACAACUGUUAAAAUCUUUUGACCUCAAAUCAGGUAGGACUACCCGCUGAACUUAAGCAUAUCAAUAAGCGGAGGA
rnacentral:misc_RNA from 1 species